rnacentral:rRNA from 1 species
ACUCAAAGGAAUUGACGGGGGCCCGCACAAGCAGCGGAGCAUGUGGUUUAAUUCGAAGCAACGCGAAGAACCUUACCAGGACUUGACAUCGUCUGAAUAGUGCAGAGAUGCAUGAAGCCUUUCGGGGCAGAUAGACAGGUGGUGCAUGGUUGUCGUCAGCUCGUGUCGUGAGAUGUUGGGUUAAGUCCCGCAACGAGCGCAACCCUUGUCAUUAGUUGCUAACAAGUAAAGUUGAGCACUCUAAUGAGACUGCCGGGGAUAACUCGGAGGAAGGUGGGGAUGACGUCAAAUCAUCAUGCCCCUUAUGUCCUGGGCUACACACGUGCUACAAUGGCUGACACAAAGUGACGCAAAACCGCAAGGUGGAGCAAAUCACAAAAAGCAGUCCCAGUUCGGAUUGACGGCUGCAACUCGCCGUCAUGAAGCCGGAGUUGCUAGUAAUCGCGAAUCAGAAUGUCGCGGUGAAUACGUUCCCGGGCCUUGUACACACCGCCCGU